AGUGACCAUGGGUGAAGAAGACAGCACUAUGACAGAGAAGCGCCUGGGAAGGUCAGCCCUAAACACAGCUGUACUGUUACUCAAAGGUGUGCUCCCACCAAGGACUCUUCUACAAUCAAAUUGCUGGAAUACUGCGACCUCCAGAACUGACGGGAGGACAUGUAGCAGCGAGGAUCUAUUAAAUUACACACGGUUAAUUGUUGUGCAUCUAGCACAACCCCACUAGGCGAGAGGCUCUUUCUUCCUUGUUAAUUCAAAGACCGUCCCCCCCCUCCCUGGCCCUCCGGUCCUACACACGUGGCUCUGCUGUGUUUGACCUUCUAGUUUCUUAGAUCCGGGCAGGCUGUUCCGUCAGCGGUAUUUAACUGGCCAUUUGUUGGCAAUGCCAGAUAAAUAGAGAUCCAACAGAUCUGAGAAAUACCAGUGUGAAGCUAGUCUUACAUGGUAGUUACCUAUGGGUGGCUUUAGAAAGACCUCCUGGAGGAGAGAUAAUUUGCAUCCAU